rnacentral:tRNA from 1 species
AGCAGCGUGGCUUAGUGGGCAGAGCCUGGUUUUAGGAGUCAGAGCACCUGGGUUCUAAUCCCAGCUCUGCCA